AUGCACAACUACCACACCAACCUCUGGUCUCAUUCCGUAAAUACUAGGGUCGCACUGCCUUCGGUCUCAGCUCAAUAUAUACCAAUAUAUUUGUCUUUUGGUCUUCUUCCUAGGCCAUUCACCUAUAGCAUCUCGCACAUGUCAAGACUUAAGAGGAAGAUGAAAUUGUGGCACUUAAUUAGGAUUUACGUGUUAGAUACGUGUAGCGUUUUCGGAAUAGUAGGCAUACAGGAGUAUGUUCAUUCGUGCUGUGUUUACAGUGGUGUCACUGACCUAAUUACAGCCACCACAGUGGACGUGACCGCUAGGGAAAAAAAGUUUCUCCUGCAUGGGGAGGCAAGGGAGUGCGUAGCUUUUGUGGCUUCCGGGCUAUAA
rnacentral:rRNA from 1 species